CAUAACUUCACACUGGGUAACAAUUGGGUGACCAGCUUCAGAGUCACGUACGGUCUUGAUGGAGUAACGUGGAUACCUUACACCAGAAAAGAUUUCCCACAAGAAAAGGUAACAUCGAAAUGAAUGAUUUAUAGACUAAUUUUUAAACUAGGCAAGGAGAUGCAAAUAAAUCACCACAGCUAGAAAGAGCAUACUAAAAUAAGUAAAAUUGCAAAGUUUGGUUGCGAAAUGUUGUAAAAUGCGGAAAAUAUAGCCUUGCAAAAUUUCCAAAUUUUGUAUACUUUUGUAUUGCGCGCGGAAAUUCCUACCAUUUUCGACCCAAAUGUGCUAGCAAUUUCCGCACGCAAUACAAAAGUAUAAAAAAUUUGCGAACUUUGCAAGGCUAUAUUUUCCGCAUUUUACAACAUUUCGCAACCAAACGUUGCAAUUUUACUAAUUUUAGUACGUUCUUUCUAGCUGUGGUGAUUUAUUUGCAUCUCCUUGCCUAUAGUUUCAAAAUUAGUCUAUAAGGGGAAUUGUGUAAUUAAUUAGGCUAUAUAGCUCGGUGUUUUUAGGGUGGGGUUCGAUCUUACACUAUCGAGUCUUCUAAUAUUCUUGAUAUAUUUGUUGAUAAAGGAAAUCUUCCUUGGGGCAGACGACAAAGCGACUGAAGUCAUCAGGAUCUUGGAUCGACCAGUCGUGGCGAGAUUUCUCAGAAUUCAUCCGUUAUCCUGGAAUGCUCUUCAAAUAUGUUUGAGGAUUGAAAUUUAUGGCUGUAGUGUUCAAGG